rnacentral:rRNA from 1 species
GAUGAACGCUGGCGGCGUGCUUAACACAUGCAAGUCGAACGGAAAGGCGCUGCUUUUGUGUGGUGCUCGAGUGGCGAACGGGUGAGUAACACGUGAGUAACCUGUCCAUGACUUUGGGAUAACUCUAGGAAACUGGGGCUAAUACCGGAUAGGAGCUCUUGCUGCAUGGUGGGGGUAGGUAAGCUUCGGCCGUUGGGGAUGGACUCGCGGCUUAUCCGCUUGUUGGUGAGGUAGUGACUUACGAAGGGUUUGACGGGUAGGCGGCCUGAGAGGGUGAACAGCCACCUUAGGACUGAGAUACGGCCCAGGAUCGUACGGUAGGCAACAGGGGGAAACAUUACACAGUGACCGCAAGCGUGGUGCAGCAACGCCCCGAGCGUGAUGACGUCCUUCGGGUUGUGAACCGCUUUCGCAUGUGACGGAGCGAGUGUGACGGUAAUGGGUAAGAAAGCACCGGCUAACUACGUG